rnacentral:lncRNA from 1 species
AGAUCGGAUGGGGGGAGAGGCUCUCACAACGGCCCUUAUGUGCCCCCACAGUCUUGUUAGGAACAGGAGGAGAACCUCAUCCUAACAUGAGCAAAGUCGAAAGCCUGGUUUUCUAAAGAUCGGAUGGGGGGAGAGGCCCUCACAACGGCCCUUAUGUGCCCCCACAGCCUUGUCAGGAACAGGAGGAGAACCUCGUCCUGACACGAGCUGAAACC